AGCAUAUAUUUCUGAACUGUGGUUGCUUAUGCUUUUGUUGUUCAGGUUUGCAGGCUUUCCCUGCACCCUUUAUUUGUGUUUUGGAUUUGGAAUGAGUGUAAAAGUUUCUGUUUGUUUGAGGGUGGCUCAGGAUCCCACUAACUGCAUGAGCAUGCAACUGUAGAAAGGGUUCCGCAUGAAGGCAGAGUGGAAAACCCUAACAAAGAACUGGAUAGGAGCUGCUCUGCUGAGAAACCUGGCGAGGUGUUGCAAGACUGAGCGCAAGGAGUGCAGAACACAGUAGUUUGCUACAACUCUCCUCAAUGAUAGAGGCUUCAGUUAUGAAUGCUGUACCACGGAGGAAGCUGAGAGCACCUGUGCUUAAGACGGCUUUUCCCAGCUGAGCCCCUUUGGAUGUUUGUCUUUGACAACCUUUGCUGCCCCUAAUGCUGCUUUUGUAAAGAAAAGGUUUUGUUGAUACAGCAUAUUUUUGUUACUUACUGUUGGUCAUAAUGCACUCUCAAAGCUGUGUUUAACAUAAGCGGUUUUGAUACAAGAUGUGUGUGCUGUUGUGUGAAAUCUUAGCCCUGGAUGAAUCCAGAAGCGUUUUGCCACUGAUUUCUCUAGAGCUGGGAUUCCUCCCUCUCUUUCUGCCUUUCCCUGCUCUGUUUUAUGCUGCCCUAACCCAUUGGUUGCCUUCAUUGGGGCCACUGGAUGCAAUGUGGGGAAGCGGUGCUGCAUCUUAAUCUAAAUUUGCCUGGAGAUCUUCCUGUUAUUCUGUGUUAUAACCAUUUAAUUACUCUCUCUCUCUCUCUCUCAGAAGUUUAUUGCCUUUGUAAAUUCACAGUUUGGUUGGGAUGAUGCUUAGCAUGCAAAACAGCAUGCAAGAUAAAGCAGUGGUGCGAUUUUACGCUGUUGUUUCACUGCUGUUGUUCCUCACAGGAGGGGGAAAGCUUUCAUUCAUCCAUGAAGGGUGGCUGAACAUGAUGCAUGUGUUGGCACCCUGACUGCAGUGAUGCCUGCAUGUCACUGAACUUUAUGGCCCCUCGUUUAAACCUCACAGCUUCUCCUUCAGCACUCAAGCUGUGUAAUACGAAAGUAGCCUCUGUAUCACUGCAGCACCUCUGAGUGCAUCUGCAGCUCUGUCCUGAGGAGCAUUGGUGCCUUGUGAUGUUCUGCCCUGUGUUAGCAGGUGUCUGAGAUGCAGAUAUAGUGGGGCAUUGCAGCUACCUGUGAGCUGAUGUGAAUUAUGCGUGGUGUUUAUAGGGAUUGUUAGAAGGGAUUUGCAGAGUUUGGGGUUUUUUUUAAUAGUGUGUGUGUAAAUAUAUGUAUGCAUUCAUGUAAGAAAGCUGUGGCCCAGCUUUGCAGCUCUAAAGGGGGAAUAUUAAUAUAUUAAUCCUUAAGCACUUAAGUAGAACUAUCUGUAUAAGAAUAAGGAAAAAGAGAGGGAAGUGGAUGGGAGGGAGCUCUGCCCUGAGCCAUCCGUGUCAUUCCUGCCACUUUAUGAGACAGGUGGUGGCUUGAAGUAGAAAAGUGCUUGUUUGUGUAGAGGAACAAAGCAUGCUUUUUGAUUUAAACUUGCAGAUCUUUUCGUUUUGCUUUAAUGAGAAAUCUCCUGAAGCUGUUGAAGAAGUCUUUUUUUUUUCUGCUGUGCAAAUACAAGUAAUG
ensembl:lncRNA